AAGCACUCAACUUGAUUGGAGAAG
rnacentral:sRNA from 1 species